rnacentral:rRNA from 1 species
UACGGAGGGUGCAAGCGUUGUCCGGAAUCACUGGGCGUAAAGGGCGCGUAGGCGGCUCAUGAAGGCUGUGGUGAAAGUCCGGGGCUCAACCUCGGAUCGGCCGUGGCGACUCGUGGGCUGGAGCACUGUAGAGGCGGGUGGAAUUCCGGGUGUAGCGGUGGAAUGCGUAGAGAUCCGGAAGAACACCAGUGGCGAAGGCGGCCCCCUGGGCUAACACUGACGCUCAGGCACGAAAGCGUGGGGAGCAAACAGG